UUGUCCAGCUCUGCAAGUAAUACUUGAAACUGAGUACAGAAUGCAAGUGGCCAUUUGUCUCUAUCCAUUCCCCUAACAUUUUAAGGCCAGUUGGAGAUAUGGCUAAUUUGGGCUGAAAUGUCAUGUAUUUUCGCGGGCUGAAAUUAUCUUUCAGGUGGCUUGUGGAUUUAAAAAUCUAUGCUUUGUAUGAAGUUUACUAUGUAUUUUAUUUCUUCUUCAAGUAAGAUGUAAACCGGUAUCUUUUUAUUUUCAGGUCUGCAUCUCGUAAGAUAUCGGAAGCCGUCUGACUUGGCCACAUCGCUCGGAAGUCUGAAGUACUAGAAAAAACCGCCAUCUGCUACCUUAAGACAUUUGUCAAUUUUUGUCUGCAUCUCGUAAGAUAUCGGAAGCCGUCUGACUUGGCCACAUCGCUCGGAAGUCUGAAG